rnacentral:pre_miRNA from 1 species
AAUAUGCAUUUUAUUAUCUACCCCAAAUAGGGUUGGCUGAUACUAGUAAUUCCUUUUCUUUUAGAACUUGGAGUUGCUAUGAUCGUAACAUUAUUCUUCCCAGCCUAAACGAAGAGAAAGUACUAGUAUUAGUCAAACCCUAAUUGGGGUUUGAUAUGAUCAUGAUAUU